AGCAGCCGCGGUAAUUCCAGCUCCAAUAGCGUAUAUUAAAGUUGUUGCAGUUAAAAAGCUCGUAGUUGAACUUCGGGAUCAAUUAGUUGGUCAUGCCUUGGUAUGUACUGAUUUUAUUGGUUCUCACCUUCUAAAGAACUAUAAUGUCAUUUAUUUGAUGUUAUAGGGAAUUAGGACUGUUAACCUUGAAAAAUUGAGUGUUUAAAGCAGGCUCACGCUUGAAUACAUUAGCAUGGAAUAAUGAAAUAGGACAUCGCAUUCAUUUUGUUGGUUUCUAGGAUCGAUGUAAUGAUUAAUAGGGAUAGUUGGGGGCAUUAGUAUUCAAUUGUCAGAGUGAAAUUCUUGGAUUUAUUGAAGACUAACUACUGCGAAAG
rnacentral:rRNA from 1 species